GUAAGGAAUAUUGGACAAUGGGGGAAACCCUGAUCCAGCCAUGCCGCGUGAGUGAAGAAGGCCUUCGGGUUGUAAAACUCUUUCAGAUGUGAAGAUGAUGACGGUAACAUCAGAAGAAGCUCCGGCUAACUUCGUGCCAGCAGCCGCGGUAAUACGAAGGGAGCGAGCGUUGUUCGGAAUCACUGGGCGUAAAGAGUGCGUAGGCGGUUAUACAAGUCAGGAGUGAAAUCCCAGAGCUUAACUUUGGAAUUGCUUUUGAAACUGUAUAGCUAGAGUCCCGGAGGGGUUAAUGGAAUUCCGAGUGUAGAGGUGAAAUUCGCAGAUAUUCGGAGGAACACCAGUGGCGAAGGCGAUUAACUGGACGGGCACUGACGCUGAGGCACGAAAGCGUGGGGAUCAAACAGGAUUAGAUACCCGGGUAGUCC
rnacentral:rRNA from 1 species